rnacentral:tRNA from 1 species
GUGGGUAUAGUUCAGUGGUAGAGCGCGUGCUUAGCAUGCACGAGGUCCUGGGUUCAAUCCCCAGUUCCUCCA